AAAGCUAUUUCUUUGCCUUCAUUUUUCUCCCUGUUUUAAUCUCCUAAACUGAACAGAAGUUGGUGUGGCUUCUCCAUCUCAGUCACUUAUCCAGAAAACUGGAAAUCUCACCAACUGCCACUGUUGAUAACUUCAUUUAAAGAGGAGUCAUAAAGUGUGUGGAGUAGCAAUACUAUUGUAUUAAAUAUAAAAAUACGGAAAGUAUAAAAAUAUGGAAAAUAAUCCAAAUGGAGUGUCAGGAAAUUUUCAAAUGCCUAAUCAGGGCUCUGAAAUUGUGCUUUACAGAAGAAAGCAAAUGUAGAAAAAAGAAAGAACUGAAGGUCAGCCACCAGAUUUUUCCAAACAUACUGGGUAUAUUAUGGUGGCUGUAGACUGGUCUGAGAAGCAAACUGUGACUCUGAAAGGGCAGAGAAUGGAUCCUACAGCAGCUUUAGAUUUAGCAAAACAAAUAGCCCUCUGUGCUGGCACAGCCGCACUGCCAGGCUUGCUGGCAGGCAGGGAGAGGAGCCUGCCCACGCCCUGACUCCCCAGAUGCUGCUCUGCUUCACACUCUGUAAUACAAAUAGUUGGCACAGGAGUUUCACAGCACUGUUCCUCCACGUGCAGAUGUAAGGGAACAGCUGCGGCGGGUGGCAACCAGCACCCCAUAAGCAGAACCCCUGACGGUGUCACCCUGCUCCGAGUGCCUUCUUACGCCUCGGGAGAGCCACAGCACUGACACCUGUCAGCUUGUAUUUCACGUUGAAUGUAAGAGGAAGCAAGAGGCUCAAAGAGGGAAUGCUCAUGGCAAGAAAUGGGUUGAGCGGGGAAGCAGCCUGUGUGCAGAGCCACCGGCGAGGCUGUGAGGAUCCACACUGAUGCCUCCUGGGACGGGCAGUGAGGAAGGAGCUGCCCCACCACCAUAUCCCAAAAGGCAGACAGCAGUGAUUGAAGCUAUGGACACUUCAAUACGCAUGUGAGGUAAGAAGUGGGUCAUGAGCUGCAAGGCUGGAGCUGCUGAAGAAAUGGGAUCUGCUGAAGAAACGGGAUCUACUGAAGAGAUGGGAUCUACUCAAUAACUGGCAGCAGUGGGAUCUACUCAACAACUAGCAGCAGAAGAGGUUUUGAAGAGAUACUGAGACAGUCUUUUACAAUAUGUCUAUAUUGUUUGAGAAACUGAGAAGCUACAUAUGCUGCCUGCUAGAACUCUGCCUGAUUGCCAACUAAAUCUACAGAUAAUUUGUUGUAGAAGUAUCUACCAUCUGUAGUCUGAGGUAGGCAAGAUCAGCACUACACACUUGAUCUAAGGAAACAUUAACCAGAUGGCCCCCCCACCCUCAGGAAAUGUUGCACCUGGGACUUGAGACAUGUCCUUUGUUUGAGAAGAUUGUUUGUUGGGACAUGCCCUUUGUUUGUGAAGACAUGCCAUUUAUCUGAUAACAUGGGAGUUGCUAGGGGAGGGCUGGCCAAAGUUGUAGUUAGGGAUCUAACGGGGUGGGGGGGGUGCGCUUGGUGUGGAGGAUAUGUUAAGGAUUUCUCAGAACUACUUGUAAUAUUCCCUCACUAUCCUUGGAGUAGUGAUGCAUAUGUAUUAGAAUCAGUGAAUAUGUAACGUUUUUAAGCAAUAAAAAGGUGCUGUAUUCCACUCCAAGCAGCGCACGUCUGUGGUGGAGUCAUCCCCCGUGUGCCCAGCGCUGAAUAAACAUACCUACUUUAUAACCUUA